rnacentral:rRNA from 1 species
CAGCAGCCGGGUAAUACAGAGGGUGCGAGCGUUAAUCGGAUUUACUGGGCGUAAAGCGUGCGUAGGCGGUGAGUUAAGUCUGCUGUGAAAUCCCCGGGCUCAACCUGGGAAUGGCAGUGGAUACUGGCUCGCUAGAGUGUGUCAGAGGAUGGUGGAAUUCCCGGUGUAGCGGUGAAAUGCGUAGAGAUCGGGAGGAACAUCAGUGGCGAAGGCGGCCAUCUGGGACAACACUGACGCUGAGGCACGAAAGCGUGGGGAGCAAACAGGAUUAGAUACCCCAGUAGUCCCUGUCUCUUAUACC